CAAGCACUCCCUCCCUUCUAAAUUACUUGUUGCGGGUAUGGAUGUAUCUAGAUGUAUUUUAGUUCUAGAUAUAUCAAUUUCUGCAACGAGUAAUUUGGAACGGAGGAAGUAUGAA
rfam:Triticum urartu cultivar G1812 contig747546, whole genome shotgun sequence.